rnacentral:rRNA from 1 species
AUGGGGCGUGGCCGGGUCGAGCUCAAGCGGAUCGAGAACAAGAUCAACCGACAGGUCACCUUCGCCAAGCGCCGCAACGGCCUGCUCAAGAAGGCCUACGAGCUCUCCGUCCUCUGCGAUGCCGAGGUCGCGCUCAUCAUCUUCUCCAACCGCGGCAAGCUCUACGAGUUCUGCAGCGGCCAGAGCAUGCCCAAAACACUUGAGAGAUACCAGAAAUGCAGUUAUGGUGGGCCAGAUACAGCAGUACAAAAUAAGGAGAAUGAGUUAGUGCAGAGCAGUCGAAAUGAGUACCUCAAACUGAAAGCACGAGUGGAGAAUUUGCAGAGAACCCAACGAAAUUUGCUUGGUGAAGAUCUCGGGUCACUCGGCAUCAAAGAUCUGGAGCAGCUCGAAAAGCAACUUGAUUCAUCCUUAAGGCACAUAAGAUCCACAAGGACACAGCAUAUGCUUGACCAGCUCACUGAUCUCCAAAGGAAGGAACAAAUGCUGUGUGAAGCAAAUAGGUGCCUUCGAAGAAAACUGGAGGAGAGCAGCCAGCAGAUGCAGGGCCAAAUGUGGGAGCAGCACGCCGCCAACUUGCUCGGCUACGACCAACUGCGACAGUCCCCGCAUCAGCAGCAGGCCACACACCACGGCGGCAACGGCUUCUUUCACCCCCUGGACCCUACCACUGAGCCCACACUUCAGAUAGGGUAUACUCAGGAGCAGAUAAACAACGCAUGCGUGGCGGCGUCGUUCAUGCCGACAUGGCUGCCCUGA